AAAUGCAAACACAAAUCCAUCAGUGAACCCUUUAUUGGCCACCCGAAAUGCACAAUAUUGCAAGCUUUCACAACAAGUAUAUUAUGCAUUUUGGUUGUCCAAUAAAGGGAUCACUGAUGGAUUUAUAUCUCGAAUCCCUUCUUGACCAUGGAAACCUUCUUCUGGUUGACCUUUGGCAAGCCACAUACUCUCAGCCUCAGGGGAAGGCCAUGGCAAACCUCCUCUGAAGCAAUCUUGCCAAGAAAACCCCAUGAUAGUGCCACCAUGAGUCGGAAAAGACUUGAAGGCGCACAACAACAAUGACAGCUCCAUCCCUGAAGUGCCGUCCCCUUGUCUUUGCUGCCCGAGGCAGUUGCUCUUCUCUGCCUAAGAGUAGAGCCGACCCUGAAUCCGAACCAUGGGUGCAUUUAAGCCUUGCCAUACAGAUUGACCAUAGAAGUUGACCCCAUCUUUUCUUUCUCCCUUCCAUGAGCGACCGAUCGUCCCUUUCUUUGAGCAUCUCCCGGAGCAAGGGCCAAGAAAGCAGAGGAGAAGCACAGUGUUUUUCUUAUCUGGGACGAAAGAGAGAUAAUCUGACCAUCAACAUCGGAAGGCUGAUAACAUUCCAGGUGCUUUCGGUGCGUGCCGGACGCCAUGGUCGAAGGCCAUAAUAAACUCACUGCCAUUCCUGAAAAGGAACUUCGCAAGGGGAAAAAAGAUGGUGCCGUUUCAUACUACGUGCCUUUCCUCACAUCCAUCCUUUACUUUGCUGGAAUAAGGGAUAGCAAGGUCCAGUUUCCGGCACUGAACUAAUAUUCUUUUAUUUAUGAAUGAAACGAAGGGCAACCACAUCUCAUUCGAGUUGUCCAACCAAGCUGUUCCUGUGACCGAGAUGAAGCCGCACCCAAAGGAGCAGCGCAUUUUGCUUCUGGGAAAAAGGUUACCUGCCUUGCGCUGAGUCACGGGUCCCAAAUGACUAAUGCAUUGGAUGCCGCAAGAGAAAUAACCGGAGGCAGGCAGGGAACAAACCGGUGACGUCCUCCGAAAGUUAUGAACUUUGGGCCAGUCUGCUAACGUAACCAGAGGCCUUUGGAGAGCGACAACCUUUGGAGAGCGACAGCGGUGCAAAGUUCUCUCUCUCCGCCGUUGCGUGAAAGACCAGCGAAUGCAGGUCCCGCCUAACCAUUUGUCAACUUGACUGGGCUUCAGCUCUGCGCAGCCAGUCCCAGGCUGGCGAAAGAUGGCUUUGAAAUCAGAGGCUGGCGUAGCUGGAGAUCACUUGUUCCAGAGUUGUGAAAGAGUCCAGAAAAGCGUCUUCGUCCAACCCAAACUUGGCGUACUGAUGAACGUAAGCCCUGCGCGGAAUGAACAAUACGAUUCGGUGAGCAACAGGCCUCGGCGGUGGCUAUAUUCCCCUGAAAAAGUAACAGGGCUUCGGGUAUUCACAGCUGAUAUUAUUCUGCUGGUUUUAAUCUAUGGCUCGGACUUUCGGCACAAGAGAACACCCAUAUUGCCUUGUUCAGAGGUUGGGAAAGUCACUUUGGGGACUACACCUCCCAGAAUCCCCAUGGCAGCAUGAACAAUAGCUAAGUUGGCUGGCAGUAUUGAUGAAUUCCUUUUCAUUUUGUCCCACUGAGAAUUCGGAGUUAACGGCAUAUUAAAAAGCAUUUCCCUGACUUACUUGGAAGCGAACAUUUUCCAGGCCUUCCCCACGACGCCGUCAAGGGGCUUCAGCAAAAACUGGCUGUUGCUCACCAGAGAUGCGGAUUUCUCAUAUCUAUUAAAGGCUCUUGGGGUUUUCCAGAUGGUCAGGGUGUCCUCUGGAGCGUUUAGCCAAGAGGUAUAUAAAGCAGGGUCUCGGAAACCUCCUAUAACAAGAAUAACAUGCUUUAAAGCCGUGGGUGGUUGAAUCUGUGGAUAAAGAAUCUGAACACCGAGGGCCGACUUUACUUAAUUUUGAAUACAAAGUGUGCCGAAA